AGCGAACGCUGGCGGCAGGCCUAACACAUGCAAGUCGAACGAACUCUUCGGAGUUAGUGGCGGACGGGGGGGUAACACGUGGGAACGUGCCUUUUGGUUCGGAAUAACUCAGGGAAACUUGUGCUAAUACCGAAUGUGCCCUUCGGGGGAAAGAUUUAUCGCCAUUAGAGCGGCCCGCGUCUGAUUAGCUAGUUGGUGAGGUAACGGCUCACCAAGGCGACGAUCAGUAGCUGGUCUGAGAGGAUGACCAGCCACACUGGGACUGAGACACGGCCCAGACUCCUACGCGAGGCAGCAGUGGGGAAUAUUGCGCAAUGGGCGAAAGCCUGACGCAGCCAUGCCGCGUGAAUGAUGAAGGUCUUAGGAUUGUAAAAUUCUUUCACCGGGGACGAUAAUGACGGUACCCGGAGAAGAAGCCCCGGCUAACUUCGUG
rnacentral:rRNA from 1 species